GGGGCGUAGCUGCCGUUAGGCACUUUAGGCACGUGCCUACACAUAAUUUUUUCACAAAUAUUUUUUUUAUCAAAAAAAAUAAUAAACAACGUUAUAUGUAGAUGAACUCCAGUGAAGUUGUCACAACUCGAAUGUCAUGUGUACACUAGUCUCUCGUCCUUAGUGAAUGGAAUAUUGGAUAGAAUUGAAUGUUUUUAUGUG
rnacentral:lncRNA from 1 species